rnacentral:rRNA from 1 species
AGUCGAGGGGUAUAGUUCUUCGGAAUUAGAGACCGGCGCACGGGUGCGUAACGCGUAUGCAAUCUACCUUUUACAGAGGGAUAGCCCAGAGAAAUUUGGAUUAAUACCUCAUAGUAUUAUAGAAUGGCAUCAUUUUAUAAUUAAAGUCACAACGGUAAAAGAUGAGCAUGCGUCCCAUUAGCUAGUUGGUAAGGUAACGGCUUACCAAGGCUACGAUGGGUAGGGGUCCUGAGAGGGAGAUCCCCCACACUGGUACUGAGACACGGACCAGACUCCUACGGGAGGCAGCAGUGAGGAAUAUUGGACAAUGGGCGCAAGCCUGAUCCAGCCAUGCCGCGUGCAGGAUGACGGUCCUAUGGAUUGUAAACUGCUUUUAUACGAGAAGAAACACUCCUUCGUGAAGGGGCUUGACGGUAUCGUAAGAAUAAGGAUCGGCUAACUCCGUGCCAGCAGCCGCGGUAAUACGGAGGAUCCAAGCGUUAUCCGGAAUCAUUGGGUUUAAAGGGUCCGUAGGCGGUUUAAUAAGUCAGUGGUGAAAGCCCAUCGCUCAACGGUGGAACGGCCAUUGAUACUGUUAGACUUGAAUUAUUAGGAAGUAACUAGAAUAUGUAGUGUAGCGGUGAAAUGCUUAGAGAUUACAUGGAAUACCAAUUGCGAAGGCAGGUUACUACUAAUUGAUUGACGCUGAUGGACGAAAGCGUGGGUAGCGAACAGGAUUAGAUACCCUGGUAGUCCACGCCGUAAACGAUGGAUACUAGCUGUUGGGAGCAAUCUCAGUGGCUAAGCGAAAGUGAUAAGUAUCCCACCUGGGGAGUACGUUCGCAAGAAUGAAACUCAAAGGAAUUGACGGGG